UAUACAUGUAUAUGUGUGUGUAUAUAUAUAUAUACGGAAAUACAUAUAUAUGUGUGUGUAUGUAUAUAUAUAUGUGUGUGUGUGUAUAUAAACACACAUAUACAUAUAUAUACACACACACAUAUAUAUAUACA